AGCUGCCUACGGGGCGCAGCAGUGGGGGAUAUUGCACAAUGGGGGAAACCCUGACGCAGCAACGCCGCGUGAGUGAAGAAGUAUUUCGGUAUGUAAAGCUCUAUCAGCAGGGAAGAGAAUGACGGUACCUGACUAAGAAGCCCCGGCUAACUACGUGCCAGCAGCCGCGGUAAUACGUAGGGAGCGAGCGUUGUCCGGAUUUACUGGGUGUAAAGGGUGUGUAGGCGGGUAAGCAAGGCAGAAGUGAAAUCCAUGGGCUUAACCCAUGAACUGCUUUUUAAACUGUUUAUCUU
rnacentral:rRNA from 1 species